rnacentral:rRNA from 1 species
GAUGAACGCUGGCUACAGGCUUAACACAUGCAAGUCGAGGGGAAACGACAGGGAAGCUUGCUUCCUUGGGCGUCGACCGGCGCACGGGUGAGUAACGCGUAUCCAACCUGCCUCUGACUGAGGGAUAACCCGUCGAAAGUCGGCCUAAUACCUCAUGGCAUCGUCUGCGGGCAUCCAACGACGAUUAAAGAUUUCAUCGGUCAGGGAUGGGGAUGCGUCUGAUUAGCUUGUUGGCGGGGUAACGGCCCACCAAGGCUACGAUCAGUAGGGGUCCUGAGAGGAAGGUCCCCCACAUUGGAACUGAGAUACGGUCCAAACUCCUACGGGAGGCAGCAGUGAGGAAUAUUGGUCAAUGGGCGAGAGCCUGAACCAGCCAAGUAGCGUGCAGGAUGACGGCCCUAUGGGUUGUAAACUGCUUUUAUGCGGGGAUAAAGUGAGGGACGUGUCCUUCAUUGCAGGUACCGCAUGAAUAAGGACCGGCUAAUUCCGUGCCAGCAGCCGCGGUAAUACGGAAGGUCCGGGCGUUAUCCGGAUUUAUUGGGUUUAAAGGGAGCGUAGGCCGUGGAUUAAGCGUGUUGUGAAAUGCAGGUGCUCAACGUCUGCACUGCAGCGCGAACUGGUUCACUUGAGUGUGCGCAACGCAGGCGGAAUUCGUCGUGUGGCGGUGAAAUGCUUAGAUAUGACGAAGAACUCCGAUUGCGAAGGCAGCUUGCGGGAGCACAACUGACGCUGAAGCUCGAAAGUGCGGGUAUCGAACAGG